ensembl:lncRNA
UCCUCAAACUUAUUGGACAUGUUCUUAAGGUUUUUCCUAAGUUUCUUCCUAUGAAGAAAGUUAUGAAAUGGGAUUUUUGAAAAUAAUGCUUUAGGAUUUCUUAUUUGAAAUGUACUGAACUUUAGGACAGCUAAACCCUUGUCUUGAGACGACUAGAUAAUUUUGUAAACAUUAACGUUCUCUUGCACCAGAUAGAGCUGGCAACCGGGUAUUUAAAUACAGAAAGAAAACAAAUUAAACGUGCAUUAUCUAGCUAACUAGUAAUUAACAAUAUAUUACAAUAUUCUAAGUGUUAAAUAGCUAGCGUUAUUUCGUCAAUUUGCAAAGAACUUGGCUAAGUUAGCUAUGUUGUUGGCUAUAAUGUCGGGACGCUUGGCUAGCGAAGGUAGCUAGCUACCUAGUUUACCGGUUGCGCAGUCCCUCUACCACCUUCUCCUCCAGCUGGUCCACAUUAAUGGGCUCUCAGCUCCCUUCUUCUUAGCAGCGGACUUGAUGUCGGACCACUUCUUUUUUAAGGCGUCACUGUCCUUUGCCAUAACCCCGACAGCAUUGAGAGACUCGGCCACUCGCCCAUCCUCUCUCUUUUUUGUCUGCAUUGACCCCGCAGUUAUCAAGUCUCCCCAACAGCAACCUUUUCCUGGCUGUUAUUUCCUCCACCAUCACUUCAAGCUCGUUUGCUGAAAUUUUUAUUUUGAUGUACAGCAGUUAACGCUAGUCUUCCUAUAAUGUGUGAAAGAUCACGUUUUUUUGGAUGCGUGUAUAAAAGGGUUCGCGAGCUGGAGACAUAAACAAAAACAAAUAUUCUGGAGAUAUAAAGCAACAAAAAAAGUAAUAAAAUGUAAACAUCAACACCUAUAGUGGGCCAAAUCCUAUCAUUCAUUACACAUAGGCUUAUUUAUUAGUUUCAAGCACGCCACUAAUGUCAAUGCCACAUAAGACGAUAUUUACGAAGUUCUUAAGAAAUAUAUUUACGAAGUUUCUAAGAAAACGACGAAUUCCCAAGAACAUUUUGAGGAAUCGCAUUUACGAACUUUCUUAUGAACUUCUUCUUUUUUUUUUUUUUCAGCAGCUUCUUAAUUUUUUUCGUAAGUAAUGUUUUGUGAAUCCGGCCCCUGGUCCAUAAACGUGUUGCUGGAAAGAGUAGAUUGAGAACCUUACCUCCGUAUUAUUGGCAUACGAGAGAUGUCCGUUUCCACUAACACCUGGUGCCAGGCAGCCCAUCACCAUAGAGGCCACAAAGAGAAGUCCUCGGUCCAUUCCUACAUGGGAACAUGGAGGCAGGGCGUGGAUUACCGGUAAAGAGGUGAUGACCAGUCCACUCUACUACCAUUGUCAACUCUGUCCUGACAUGAACUUAAGCCACGUCUCAUGUGCCCGCUCAUCCACUGGCACGUUGCAUGUUUCCUCUCCAAGCACUGCAAAUCCUGCAUUGAAGUCAAGCCUGUGAACACCUCAACUCAUGCCUCAUACACUCAUUCAACUGUGUAGCUAGCCC